AUACGGAGGGGGCUAGCGUUGUUCGGAAUCACUGGGCGUAAAGCGCUCGUAGGCGGAUCAGUCAGUCAGAGGUGAAAUCCCAAGGCUCAACCUUGGAACUGCCUUUGAUACUGCUGGUCCUGAGGUCGAGAGAGGUAAGUGGAAUUCCUAGUGUAGAGGUGAAAUUCGUAGAUAUUAGGAAGAACACCAGUGGCGGAGGCGGCUUACUGGCUCGAUUCUGACGCUGAGGAGCGAAAGCGUGGGGAGCAAACAGGAUUAGAAACCCUAGUAGUCC
rnacentral:rRNA from 1 species